AUUGAACGCUAGCGGGAUGCUUUACACAUGCAAGUCGAACGAGUGGAGGACGGGUGAGUAAUAUAUCGGAACGUGCCAAGUAGAGGGGGAUAAAUACUAGAAAGAGUGACUAAUAACGCAUACUAUUGGAGAGGCCGAUAUCGGAUUAGGUAGUUGGUGUGGUAAAGGCUAACCAAGGACACGCUACGUAGCUGGUUGGAGAAGACGACCAGCCACACUGGGACUGAGACACGGCCCAGACGCCUACGGGAGGCAGCAGUGGGGAAUUUUGGACAAUGGGGGAAACCCUACUCCAGCCAUCCCGCGUGUAUGAGAAGGCCUUCGGGUUGUAAAGUACUUUUGGCAGAGAAGCGGUAUCUGCAGAAUAAGCACCGGCUAACUACGUGCCAGCAGCCGCGGUAAUAC
rnacentral:rRNA from 1 species